AGUGAACGCUGGCGGCAGGCCUAAUACAUGCAAGUCGAACGGCAGCACAGUGGAGCUUGCUCCAUGGGUGGCGAGUGGCGGACGGGUGAGGAAUACAUGGGAAUCUGCCCAGUCGUGGGGAUAACGUAUGGAAACGUACGCUAAUACCGCAUGCGCCCUUCGGGGGAAAGUCGGGGACCGCAAGGCCUGACGCGAUUGGAUGAGCCCAUGUUCGAUUAGCUAGUUGGCGGGUAACGCCCACCAAGGCGACGAUCGAUAGCUGGUCUGAGAGGAUGAUCAGCCACACUGGAACUGAGACACGGUCCAGACUCCUACGGGAGCAGCAGUAGGGAAU
rnacentral:rRNA from 1 species